rnacentral:SRP_RNA from 1 species
GCCUGUAGUCCCAGCUCCUAAAGAGGCUGAGACAAGAGGGUUGCAAGAUGCCAGGAGUUCUAGGCUGCAGUGUGCUAUUCCAAUCUGGUGUCCACACUAAGUUCAGCAUCAAUAUGGUGACCUUCCAGGAGCAGAGGACCAGCAAGUUGCCUAAGGAGGGGUGAAUUGGCCUAGGGUAGAAACAGAGCAGGUCAAAACUCCCAUGCUUGAAGUGGGAUCACUCCUAUGAAUGGCCACUGCAUUCCAGCCUGGACAAUAUAGCAAGACCUCAUCUCU